rnacentral:rRNA from 1 species
UCGGAUUGUAGUCUGNAACCCGACUACAUGAAGCUGGAAUCGCUAGUAAUCGCGGAUCAGAAUGCCGCGGUGAAUACGUUCCCGGGUCUUGUACACACCGCCCGUCACACCAUGGGAGUCGGAAAUGCCCGAAGUCUGUGACCUAACCGUAAGGAAGGAGCAGCCGAAGGCAGGUCGGAUGACUGGGGUGAAGUCGUAACAAGGUAGC